UGGGGGUGGGGGUUGUGGGGUGAGUAAGCCAAUAUUUAACUCCCAAAAGGUCUCAAGGGAUGAUCAAAGAAGUCUAUCGUGAGUAAGCCAAUAUUUAACUCCCAAAAGGUCUCAAGGGAUAUCAGAUUUUCCUUUAUUUUAUGCGUUUAUUUGUGAAAAAUGCUCAAUCAUAUUUUGUUUUCCAAAAUCAGCUUUACUAAAUUCACACCUGAACAAUAUUUAGAUUUAAUGAAUUGUGCAUGGUGGAUUCAAGAACAGUCAGUAAGACCACCAAAGCAAGACCUACCCC
rnacentral:lncRNA from 1 species